rnacentral:rRNA from 1 species
UACGUAGGGUGCAAGCGUUAAUCGGAAUUACUGGGCGUAAAGGGCGCGUAGGCGGCCACUGCAAGUCAGUUGUGAAAUCUCCGGGCUUAACCCGGAAAGGUCAACUGAUACUGCAGGGCUAGAGUGCAGAAGGGGCAACUGGAAUUCUCGGUGUAGCGGUGAAAUGCGUAGAUAUCGAGAGGAACACCUGCGGCGAAGGCGGGUUGCUGGGCUGACACUGACGCUGAGGCGCGAAAGCCAGGGGAGCGAACGGG